AGUAAAAUGGCUGAACUAUUAAGUGAUAAAUUGUAAAUUUAUUUAUAGGAAAUUUUUUUCCUUUUUACUA
rnacentral:tRNA from 1 species